rnacentral:misc_RNA from 1 species
CUUCUCUCGAUCUCAUCGCAGCUCGCUUUUGCCUCCACCUCCCCCCCCCAAUAGCUCCCUGAUUUCUCCGCACCUGACAUAUUCACCAAAACCCUAAAUCGGAGNUUCAACGCGCACAAAUACACAUAGAGUGAGUGAUUCGACUCAUUCAACACGCGCAAAUACAGAGAGUACUAUCCUCUGGCCAUGCGACUCUGGUUCUCUG